rnacentral:misc_RNA from 1 species
UCAGUUGCGUGUAGUUUCUCCGUGAAGUGAUACCAGCAAGGUGUGUCGAUGUCUGCGGAGUACAGCGCGAGGAUCACGGUGACGGGAGGCAUGGGGGACAACGGAGAUGUUUACAAGAGGACCUUCAAUGGCAGCUGCAGGGUGGGCCUUAAAAAGGGGAAGGGCUCCAUCGCCCAGAGAGCGGAGGCGUACUUGCAGGCCGUGAGCAAAAGCCGCCCGGCUGGGGCGCCACCCAUGGUGACUGCAUCAUCGAAGCCACAGUUGCCGCGCCUGGAGGUGGUCUCCAGGGUCGCCGCCAUCCCCAUCGUGGAGUCCGGCAUCGGGGUCACCGAGAAGAUAUACUUCAGGAUCAAGGAGUCGAACCCCCUGUUCCGCUGGUACCUGUCCCUGUACGAGAAGACGCUGAGCACGGGCGUGCAGCUGGCGCUGCCGGCCGUGCAUCUGCUGGAGGCGCCCAUCCACCAGCUGGACCGCUUCCUGUGCGCGUCGCUCGACGUGGUGGAGAAGCGCGUGCCGUCCAUCCACCUGCCGCCGCAAACUAUGUACAGUGAAACCCGUCAGUACGUGCUCCGACGGGCGGAUUCCGUGAAGCAGCUGGGCACGGCCGUGCUGGACUCGCGCGUCACCUGCGCCACGGCCAGCGCGCUCGACAGGGCGCUCUCCACCGCGGACAAGUACGUGGACAAGUACCUGCCGCCCGACACCAAGGACCCCGUGGACGUGAGCAUCAUCGUGCAAGACGCGGAGUGGUCGGGCGGGAGCGGGCGCGCGGCGGCCGCGCAGGCGGUGCAGCACGGCGCGCGCCUGCGCCGCAAGCUGCAGCGCCGCCUCACGCGCCAGGCGCUCGCCGAGGCCAAGGCCAUCCGCGAGCAGAUCCACGUGCUCGUCUACGUGGCGGAACUUGUUGCCACAGACCCUGUGUUAGCGUGGAAGAAGGCCAAGGAGCUGUACGCGUCCCUCAGCCAGCCGGAGCCGGAGAACCAGGCGCGGCCGGAGACGCUGGAGCAGCUGGUGGUGCUGCUGGCGCGCGAGACGGCGCGCAAGGUGGUGCACCUCGUCAACUACACGCACACGGACCUGCCCAGAAACGUGAGCACGGGCUUGGCGGUGGUGACCAAACACCUCUCUUCUGCCGCUGACGCACUCCUCAAGGUGCGCCCCUGCAACUCGGCCCUCGCAGAGCUGGCGCACCUGUCCCUGGCGCUCCACUUGCGGGUGGUCACCGGCGCCGCGCCGCCUCCUCUAUAAGACGCUGCCGGUGGACUCCGCGCUGGCCGAGGUGCGCGGCUGGCGGAGCAGGCUGGAGCAGCUUCUGCAGCAGCUGCAGGCCAGCUCUAAGGUCUACCUGGAGCACCUGGCCAUCUUCC